GCCUUGGUAGCUCAAUUGGCUAGAGCGUGGGACUUUUAAAAAUAUUAUUCACCGGAGUCCUCCGGAGAAAACUUAUAGAGGUAUCCCAAGGUUGCGGGUUCGACCCCCGCCUGAGGCG